UCAGCUUGUUGGUGGGGUGAUGGCCUACCAAGGCGAUGACGGGUAGCCGGCCUGAGAGGGCGACCGGCCACACUGGGACUGAGACACGGCCCAGACUCCUGCGGGAGGCAGCAGUGGGGAAUAUUGCGCAAUGGGCGGAAGCCUGACGCAGCGACGCCGCGUGGGGGAUGACGGCCUUCGGGUUGUAAACCUCUUUUACCACUCACGAAGGCUCCCAGUGUUCUGGGGGUUGACGGUAGGUGGUGAAUAAGGACCGGCUAACUACGUGCCAGCAGCCGCGGUAAUACGUAGGGUCCGAGCGUUGUCCGGAAUUAUUGGGCGUAAAGAGCUCGUAGGCGGCCUGUCGCGUCUGCUGUGAAAGUCCGGGGCUUAACUUCGGGUGUGCAGUGGAUACGGGCAGGCUUGAGGUAGGUAGGGGAGACUGGAAUUCCUGGUGUAGCGGUGAAAUGCGCAGAUAUCAGGAGGAACACCGGUGGCGAAGGCGGGUCUCUGGGCCUUACCUGACGCUGAGGAGCGAAAGCGUGGGGAGCGAACAGGAUUAGAUACCCUGGUAGUCCACGCCGUAAACGUUGGGCGCUAGGUGUGGGGACUUUCCACGGUUUCCGUGCCGUAGCUAACGCAUUAAGC
rnacentral:rRNA from 1 species